CUUUUCUUAAACAAUUCCUACAGGUAAAUUAGAUUACUAGCCAUGUGUGUUUACAUAGUUGCUUAUAUUUUUUACUUUACGUUACAUUCUUGUUCUGUGCAUUUUGAUAUAGGUGGCCAUCUUAAGAGAGAUGAAUUAAUUUGGGAUUUUGAAAGACAUAAUUGAGUUGGAUUAAGGAGGUGGCAAAGAUGUGUUGAUUGAAUCAUUGAAUGCAAUAGGGUGUUAAAAGGCAAGGGGUUAAAGCAGGACGAUAAGCCAUUUGCCUUUGCAUUUCAAAUGGAGCUAAUAUUUUAGAUGGACAAUCCCAGUGAUAAAGACUGGCAUGUUUUUAUGAAAAUCGUUCAGAGAGAUCAAUUUGAUGAUUAAAAGACUAGUCAGCUGAUAUAUACGAUGCAGCACACUAUGUCAAACCGAGAAUAUAGAGAAGGACAAGAGGAGAGACGAAGAUGAAGAAACAAAGAGAAUUUGAAAGGAGAAUGGGGAAGAACUAGAGGAGAAAAUUUCAGGAUGUUGUAUUUAAUAUUCAAUCAUGCAUUUUACAAUGAACUCGAUUACUUAGCCAUAGUUUGAUGGCCAUUAUUUGGCAAAAACUCUGUUUUAAAUUGUAAGUUUUUGGAGAAUGCGUGUUUAAAAAGUAGGAAAAAUUUUUGGGUUUAUGUGCAAAAUAUUUUAUUGUGUGAAUAUAUUAUUAAAAACGAG
rnacentral:lncRNA from 1 species